rnacentral:rRNA from 1 species
AGGGUUUGAUUCUGGCUCAGGACGAACGCUGGCGGCGUGCCUAACACAUGCAAGUCGAGCGAACGGAAGGGCUUCGGCCCCGAAGUUAGCGGCGGACGGGUGAGUAACGCGUGAGCAAUCUGCCUUUCACAGGGGGAUAACAUUGAGAAAUCAGUGCUAAUACCGCAUAAGACCACAGCCUCGCAUGGGGCAGGGGUCAAAGGAGCAAUCCGGUGGAAGAUGAGCUCGCGUCCCAUUAGAUAGUUGGUGAGGUAACGGCCCACCAAGUCAACGAUGGGUAGCCGACCUGAGAGGGUGAUCGGCCACAUUGGGACUGAGACACGGCCCAA